rnacentral:rRNA from 1 species
UUUAAUAUUUAAAGGCUCUCUGCAACUCUCACAUGGUUGCCCACUAAAGCUAAGAGGGCUGUGCCCGGUUAGUACCUGGAUGGAAGACCAAAUGGGAAAACUAGGUUGCUGCUAGAA